rnacentral:misc_RNA from 1 species
CGCAAGCGAUCAAUGGACGCCGGCAAGGACUUGCGUGUCCUCCGUGGUUUCCUCUCGCUCCUUCGUAACCUUUUCUUUUCGGUCAUCCUUAUUCUUUGGUGUGUUUGCAUCCCUUUGUUGCUUCGAGCUCGUGUUGCCGAAGUCUUCGCGGGUUCUCGUGGCGCUGUGCUCCUCGAGCGUGUUUUCUUUUUUACUCUGUUCACGCCAUAUUCUCCAAGUGAGCACCAUUCACGCCUUCGCCCACCUCCGUCAAGGUCGAAACCAGAUGUGCGGCAUCUGCCUUCUUGUGAGGCAGAAGCUCGUGAACGCCGCGACCACAACUACGCCGGUGCUAGCUUCACCGCAAAACGAAUCGCAGCAGCGGUCAGCAAAGUCUAGCACGGCGGCUUCACACUCGAAUCCCUUUUUUCCGCCACAGGACGAGGUGGUGCAGCAGCAGUGCCGCAGCCACCCCUCCAACGGUGUCAGCUGCGCCACCUCUUUUUCGUCCUGGGCGAGGCAGACGCACAGUCUCACUCCAUGCCUGUGCACGCACGCAGGGUUGGAUGUGAAGAGCUUCCUCAGCAGCAACAGCAGCGAAACUGUCAAUGACCUCUUCGCAGAAAUGGUUCACAAUCUGCGCCGCCGUGGCCCUAACACGUACGGCAUCACCCGACGAUCCUUCUCCGCGGUCUGUCAGGUGCCCACUGACCGCGGCGUCUCGCUGAUGCAUUCUGUGUCGCCGAUGUCAUCCACGGUAAUGACGAACGGCGGGGACGCGACAGCUAGCGCCGCUGCUCCGCACGCGUCCGUGCCCGCAAGCGCUGCCGUAAACGUUCGUACGGAGGUUGCAGGAGUCGCGUCCGUUCUUGGUCUGCGCGGCCACUCCACCGUCGCGCAGCCCUACGACGUGAGCGUCGAGACGGACGCCGAGGAAGACGGCCCUGCCAAUUCGUGGGACUACCGCUCCUCCCUCUUGUGGAACGGGGAGAUCUUUGGCGGCGCUCUCUGUCCGCCUCCGUGGGGCUCCGACACGGUGCUGUUGGCGAGCCGCCUCUCCCAAAUGGAGUUGGAGUGCGUGAACAUGGCACAAGAGACUCCGUCAGGGCCCAAGCUGCCCCCGCUGGCGCAGCGUCAGCGCAUCUUCCUGCGCAAGUGCACCACCUUGUUUGAGCAGCAAGUGGAGGGGCCGUACAGCUUUAUCUUCAUUGCGACGCGGCUGCGCCUCGCCAUCUUUGGGCGAGACCCACUCGGUCGGCACUCGCUCCUCACACACGUUCGCGUGACGGUGCCACCGUUAAACGCGGAACACAAGUGCACCGCAGCUGGCGUCGGCCCAGCGGCGACGCAUGAAUUUCCGGCAGAGUUGGAUGUGCAGCUCAUUGUCAGCUCCGUCGGUGUGCAGCACCGCCCGCCGGCUAGCUGCACGGACCCCACCUCAGCCCUUUCCUCUUCCUCGAAGAUCACGACCAGCACCACCAGUCUCCUGCCGCAGCUGGGCGAUGAUGCAAAGGUGAAUGUUGAUGGCGCGGUCAAGUCGAAGCGACCUCGCCAUGAGAGAGCGGCGUCGACGACUACGUCGCUAGAAACCACUCCCCCUCUUCCAUCUCCUCCUGUACUGCGUCCGGGGGAGCUGUCUUCACGGAGUGCAGUGGACGAGCACGACGACGAAGCUGGUGACGUUGCCGGUGCCGGAUGCCGAGAGGCCUGCUGGCAAGAGGUCGGCGUCACAGGACUCUUCGCAGUACCUCUGCAGGCCCCUCUCGUCUACCGCGAUACUGCGGCGGAGGCGGCACAGGAGGUGGAGGCGUGGUCUGCUGAUCUUGCCGGCUCUGAAGGCAGUGCAGCACACCAGUCGCCUAAUCUUCAUCCUGUCUGCUUCUCCGCUGCGACAGUGAUGAACGGCGCCGGUGACGGGUAUCAAACCACUCUCCGUGCCGCUCACGUGAUGCUCUUGCACUGUCCGUGGAAGCGGUCAAACCACCUUGUGCAUCCGCUGCUGCGCACAGUCGGAUUGCCGAUGGUGCCGCACGAGCCGCCGUCUUUCGAGCUCAUUCUCGCGCACGAGGAGAUUGCGGUGCUGCCGGAGCCGCUUCUGCAGUGGGCGCGCCACCUGAUGAAGAGCAUCCAGCCCGAGGAGGCACUGGACCAGCGCUGGGUGGACUGGGCUGCUGCACAUUACAUGUUAGCCCUUGCUGUUUCGAUGCAUCGCCGCAUCACCGUGGCGAACGCCGGCGCAGUGGACGGCCGCGAUGCGCAGGAGCUGACGACCGCACGUCGGCGGCCCCUGUGCAUUCUUUUUUCCGGAGGCAUCGACUGUACCGUCAUCGCCGCCCUAGCGCACUACCUGCUGCCCGUGGAGACCCCUAUUGAAUUGGUCAACGUGGCAUUCGGCGAGACGCCAGAGCAGGCGCCCGACCGCGUCGCCGCCUUCCGCUCCAUGGAGGAGCUUCUGCGCCUCCCGCUCCUUCACACGUCGGGCGACGACGCUGGGGGAGGUGGAGCAGGGGCAGCAGCUGCCCCUCCAGAGCGGGAAUGGCGCCUGAUCUUGGUGGAUGUCCCGUCGAAAUCAACCGUGGACAGCGCCCAUAUAAAGGAUUUGCUCGUGCCGCGGCACACCGUCAUGGAUCUCGACAUUGGCACGGCGCUCUGGUACGCCGCGCGUGCCUCGGGACGCAUGCAGAAUUUGCGCCCGAGCGACGUGGCGCGCAGUGGCACACCGGCAACGACCACGGGAGGUGGUAGCCCGACGUCAGCCUCCGCCCCCGUACGCAUCGGCAUGGGCAGCCCCACCGUCACGCUGGACGAGUUCUCCAAGCACUUCCGCGCCUACACAGGUGCGACUCCCGUCGCCAGCUUUCCACCCGACAGUGCAACACCGGGCGCGCGGCUCCCCGGCAGCUCUUCCGCCUUGCUCGCCAGCAACGCCGCGCACGCGACGGCAGCCACCCUGUCGACUUCCUCGUCGUCCGGGUCUGUCGAUCCCGACUCCGUGGCGAACGCGCAGAAGUACCAAAUUCUGGUGGACAUUCUUGUCAAGGAGGGGCGCAGUGGCUCUGGUCCGCACACGCCAGUGCUGCUGUCUACGCUUGGCAAGGAGUACAGUCUCUUUCUCCACCCGCACAUCAAGCGCUACGGGUACAAGAAGCUCGGCAGCUUCUUGAACGACGCAGCCAAGGCCGGGUACGUCAAGUUUGCGCCGGACGCCCCAUCAAAGGCGGUGCGGCUCUGUCGACCUUGCGACAUGCAGCGGGCCACGGCCGUGCCGCCGAGUCCGUGGUUCAUGACGGAGUACAUGAAGGCGAAGGAGCCGGUGCGCGCUCCCGACGGAUCGAUGCAGCCGCCACUGCCGUGUCCGGGAACGUAUCAAGAGUCGUAUGUGUCGCAGGCAAAGGUGGUGUUGCUCGGCAUGGGCGCCGACGAGACGCUGGGCGGGUACACGCGCUACCGGCGCUUCUUUCAGCGAGAGGGCAUGCAAGGAGCGCGGCGAGAGCUCGAGCGAGACUUCGCCAGACUGUGGCAGCGCAACUUGGGUCGUGACGAUCGCAUCACGAUGGACAGUGGGCGAGAGCCGCGUUUCCCGUAUCUUGAUGAGGGAGUCGUGCGCACCCUGGAGUGGAUUGUGCUGAAACGUCGCAACAACAUCCUGUCCACACAUGAGUUGCUGUCGCGGCACACGGCGAAGAGCGGCGUCGCUGGCGCGGACCCAGCGUUGCCAACGUCGCCGACCUCUUCUUCCUCGCUGCGUCUGGGCACGGCAUCGAACCCGCAUGAGGCAGCGCCACUGCUGACGAGCGACGAGGUUUUGCAGCUCGCCCUCGAGCCCAUUGUCAGCUUUCGCCUGAACGUCGGCGAAGGCGACAAGCGCGUUUUGCGCCGCGUGGCGACCGUGCUGGGCCUGAGCGACGUUACCCAUUUGCAGAAGCGUGCCAUCCAAUUUGGCUCUCGCGUUGCGGAACGCAAAAUCAAAGGUACCAGCGACUUCUGAUGCGCACGCGCCUGAGAUAAGUGCCAGGGACGAGAGACGCGACGAUGUGUACGGGCUUGUCUGCGUCUCACCGCUCCCCCUCCCCCAACACACUCACCCAUGGCCCUUUACACCGCUUUUCCUCGUCCUUCACCGCCUCUUUUGUUUCGUUGCGACCGUCACGCCUCAAGGCGGAAGAGCGGAGGGAGGACGAGCAUAUUGAAAAGGCACGCCACUGAUUGAAAAAGAUAUGCGCAUGCAUAUACGAGCACGCCCCCAUAUAUAUAAGCAUUUAAGGAAACUGAUAAGGUGCUCCUGGUGCAUCCGGAGCGUCGCCUAGGCGGGUGUAAAGAGGCAUCUCGCUCGCUAAGUUUCACUGUGAACGUUGCUUUUGUUUUCUAUUUUCUAUCCCUCCCCUCUUACCUCCUUCCUCAUUCUCUCAUGUCUCGCAUCUAUCGGUGUGUGUGGUGUAUUGUGUACAAG